UGGGGAAUAUUGCACAAUGGGCGAAAGCCUGAUGCAGCAACGCCGCGUGAGUGAUGAAGGCCUUCGGGUUGUAAAGCUCUGUCUUUUGGGACGAUAAUGACGGUACCAAAGGAGGAAGCCACGGCUAACUACGUGCCAGCAGCCGCGGUAAUACGUAGGUGGCAAGCGUUGUCCGGAUUUACUGGGCGUAAAGGAUGCGUAGGCGGAUUUUUAAGUGAGAUGUGAAAACCCUAAGCUUAACUUGGGGACUGCAUUUCAUACUGGAAAUCUAGAGUGCGGGAGAGGAGAAUGGAAUUCCUAGUGUAGCGGUGAAAAUGCGUAGAGAUUAGGAAGAACACCAGUGGCGAAGGCGAUUCUCUGGACCGUAACUGACGCUGAGGCAUGAAAGCGUGGGUAGCAAACAGGAUUAGAUACCCUGGUAGUCCACGCCGUAAACGAUGAGUACUAGGUGUAGGAGGUAUCGACCCCUUCUGUGCCGCAGUUAACACAAUAAGUACUCCGCCUGGGAAGUACGAUCGCAAGAUUAAAAACUUAAAUGAAUUGAC
rnacentral:rRNA from 1 species